GAUGAAGAACGUAGCGAAAUGCGAUAAGUAAUGUGAAUUGCAGAAUUCAGUGAAUCAUCGAAUCUUUGAACGCACAUUGCGCCCGCCAGUAUUCUGGCGGGCAUGCCUGUUCGAGCGUCAUUUCAACCAUCAAGCUCUGCUUGCGUUGGGGAUCCGCGGCUGCCCGCGGUCCCUCAAAACCAGUGGCGGGCUCGCUAGUCACACCGAGCGUAGUAACUUUACAUCGCUAUGGUCGUGCGGCGGGUGCUUGCCGUAAAACCCCCCAAUUUUUAAGGUUGAUCUCGGAUCAGGUAGGAAUACCCGCUGAACUUAAGCAUAUCAAUAAGCGGAGGA
rnacentral:misc_RNA from 1 species